rnacentral:rRNA from 1 species
GCUCAGAACGAACGCUGGCGGCAGGCCUAACACAUGCAAGUCGAGCGAGAACUUCGGUUCUAGCGGCGGACGGGUUAGUAACGCGUGGGAACGUGCCCUUCACUACGGAAUAGUCCCGGGAAACUGGGUUUAAUACCGUAUACGCCCUUCGGGGGAAAGAAUUUCGGUGAAGGAUCGGCCCGCGUUAGAUUAGAUAGUUGGUGGGGUAACGGCCUACCAAGUCUACGAUCUAUAGCUGGUUUUAGAGGAUGAUCAGCAACACUGGGACUGAGACACGGCCCAGACUCCUACGGGAGGCAGCAGUGGGGAAUCUUAGACAAUGGGCGCAAGCCUGAUCUAGCCAUGCCGCGUGAGUGAUGAAGGCCUUAGGGUCGUAAAGCUCUUUCGCCAGGGAUGAUAAUGACAGUACCUGGUAAAGAAACCCCGGCUAACUCCGUGCCAGCAGCCGCGGUAAUACGGAGGGGGUUAGCGUUGUUCGGAAUUACUGGGCGUAAAGCGCGCGUAGGCGGAUUGGAAAGUUGGGGGUGAAAUCCCAGGGCUCAACCCUGGAACUGCCUCCAAAACUAUCAGUCUAGAGUUCGAGAGAGGUGAGUGGAACUCCGAGUGUAGAGGUGAAAUUCGUAGAUAUUCGGAAGAACACCAGUGGCGAAGGCGGCUCACUGGCUCGAUACUGACGCUGAGGUGCGAAAGUGUGGGGAGCAAACAGGAUUAGAUACCCUGGUAGUCCACACCGUAAACGAUGAAUGCCAGUCGUCGGAUAGCAUGCUAUUCGGUGACACACCUAACGGAUUAAGCAU